UACGUAGGGGGCAAGCGUUGUCCGGAAUCAUUGGGCGUAAAGCGCGUGUAGGCGGCCCGAUAAGUCCGCUGUGAAAGUCCAGGGCUCAACCCUGGGAUGCCGGUGGAUACUGUCGGGCUCGAGUCCGGAAGAGGAGUGUGGAAUUCCUGGUGUAGCGGUGAAAUGCGCAGAUAUCAGGAGGAACACCAAUGGCGAAGGCAGCACUCUGGGACGUGACUGACGCUGAGACGCGAAAGCGUGGGGGAGCAAACAGG
rnacentral:rRNA from 1 species